UGUCGAUAGAUGGUAGUACAGCCUCGUUCUUAUUUGAACAUGAGGCAUCAUCAUAUCUGUUACGUUCGUUACUGAAUCCACUGUUAGAUGAAGCUAGUAUUACUAUUUCGAGUGUCUACAACGUCAGUAAUUGUUUUCACUCACUUGAACCAAGGAAAAGAGAGAAUUUGGACAAGGUUUAGGCAGAAUUACGAAAUAGAAAACAGAUUCGUCGUUGUGUGGGUGAGUGCACAGACUUGUAUCAUAAUGCAGCAUUCCUCUUCGAAGCUUCGUCCGGUUUGCACGCUUCUACAACAGUAUUAAAGUUUCGAAGUAUUGAAACUUCUAUCAACGGCUGUGAUUGGUCGGCCCAUGUUGGCGUCCUCUCAUUUCGACCAAUCAGACACGUCGUUGUGUGAGCGAGUGCGUUGAUUUGUGACGCAGUACAGCAUUCCUCUUCGAAGCUUCGUCCGUGUUCCACGCGUCUGCAACAGAAGUACAUUCUAAUAAAACAUCAAAAGCCUGAUAUAGAACUAUUAAAUGAAUCUUCGUCAAAUUAAAGAAGCACAUUCGAAUAAAACAUCAGAAGCCUGAAAUGGAACAAUUAAAUGAAUCUUCGUCCAAUUAAAGUGCCUGUAUGUCAACAUCCUACCUACUACACUCGUCUACAUCAUCAAUCUACUUAGGAGACCAUCCGCCGGGUGCUUUCUUCCAGCUACUUCUCAACAACCACUCACCAGUUCGGUGAGCCCCAAAAGUUACAAAUUUUAUUCUUAUUUUAAGUGAGCAUAGUGACCCAUGAGUGGAUGAAUACUCAUGGAAAUAUAUUACAUAUUUUUCAUAUCUUUUUUCAUUUUUAUAUUGUUGUAUUUCUUAGUUCAGGCUAGGGUCUUCUUGUCUCUUUUUAAAAAAUAGUUUGUAGGAUAGAAGUCGGAUGACCCUCCGACUUCACAAAUAAAAUACAACUUUUAAAAUAUUUUUUUAAUUAAAAGAUACUUAAAUUUUGAUAAUGUAUACAAAAUUUGUAUAUUUUAUAUGCAGUCAAUAUUACGUACAUUUGCUACAAUACAUUUAUUAUACUAUAAUAUUUCAAUGCAGUAUAUUAUUAUAUUGUUGAUUUAAAUAUGUUUUAUGAGCAAGAAGACAUUUCGCGACGGUUAGAUUCUAACAUCGAAGUAAUAUUUUCGAAUGUACAUUUGAUGUAACUUACACAAUUUACUUCGACAUGCAAUCAACCGAGGAUGUAUUACAUGUAUAUUAAUUAUUAAAUUGCAUUUCCAAUAGAUACAGAUCCAUUUAACAGAUACUUCAAGUUUUUGAUUAAAGUAGAGUGAUUUUUUUUACACAUUUUUUUUUCUUUAGCUAUGAUUAAAUACAAUUUAAUUAUUUUAAUAAUUAUUUAAUUCAAUUGCAAUUUUUUAUUUUAAUUUUUAAUAAUCGGAGUCUUGUAUUACAAAUAGAAUCAUUUUUUAAUGUUUUAUUCUUCUAAUCAAUUUCAAUCUCAUCAGUUCAAAGAAAACAUAGUUCCAACGUAAGAUUGUUUUACAUAAUAAUUUAUUUUCAAAUUUAAAAUGUUUAUUAGCCCGUUAGCUUUACUAUGUAUUAAUCGAUCAUUUUAGCUUAGGAUUUUCAGCUUCACACGGUAGGUGUAUUAUUUCUUUGCCCGUAUUCAUUACUUAUUAGCCUGAGCUCAUCAACGAACCCAGGUGUGCGUUGUGUGGGUAAGGGCGGUGGGUACGGUUUUAGAAUUAAGGAAUAUUACAGCGAUUGACAAACGUAUUAGCGUAUUGUGCACGAUGUACGUUUCACAUGUGUGUGUGUGUGUAUUUAAAUUAGUGGAAUGUACGUCGAUUUUAUUAUUCAACUUAAAUAGUUUAUAUAAAUACAUACAGAAUAAAUAUGUUACAUAUCUAAUCAAUAUUUUCCAUAUUACAUACUGUAUGUAUAAUAUCAUACAAUCAUAUUACAU